GUACACUUUAAACCCUUUAACGAGGAUCUAUUGGAGGGCAAGUCUGGUGCCAGCAGCCGCGGUAAUUCCAGCUCCAAUAGCGUAUAUUAAAGUUGUUGCAGUUAAAAAGCUCGUAGUUGGAUCUCGGGUCCAGGCUGGCGGUCCGACGCCUGUCGGUUACUGCCUGCU
rnacentral:rRNA from 4 species